UACGUAGGGUGCAAGCGUUGUCCGGAAUUAUUGGGCGUAAAGAGCUCGUAGGCGGCUUGUCGCGUCAACUGUGAAAACCCGUGGCUCAACCAUGUGGUCUGCAGUCGAUACGGGCAGGCUAGAAUUCGGUAGGGGAGACUGGAAUUCCUGGUGUAGCGGUGAAAUGCGCAGAUAUCAGGAGGAACACCGGUGGCGAAGGCGGGUCUCUGGGCCGAUAUUGACGCUGAGGAGCGAAAGCGUGGGGAGCGAACAGG
rnacentral:rRNA from 1 species